rnacentral:rRNA from 1 species
GACGACGCUGGCGGCGUGCCUAAUACAUGCAAGUCGAACGAGUGGCGGACGGGUGAGUAAUGUCUGGGAAACUGCCUGAUGGAGGGGGAUAACUACUGGAAACGGUAGCUAAUACCGCAUACCAUCGGAUGUGCCCAGAUUGGAUUAGCUAGUAGGGGGGGUAAAGGCUCACCUAGGCGACGAUCCCUAGCUGGUCUGAGAGGAUGACCAGCCACACUGGAACUGAGACACGGUCCAGACUCCUACGGGAGGCAGCAGUGGGGAAUAUUGCACAAUGGGCGCAAGCCUGAUGCAGCCAUGCCGCGUGUAUGAAGAAGGCCGUCGGGUUGUAAAGUACUUUAAGUUGGGAGGCGUUACCAACAGAAUAAGCACCGGCUAACUUCGUGCCAGCAGCCGCGGUAAUAC